rnacentral:rRNA from 1 species
UAGACCGCCUGGGGAGUACGGCCGCAAGGUUAAAACUCAAAUGAAUUGACGGGGGCCCGCACAAGCGGUGGAGCAUGUGGUUUAAUUCGAUGCAACGCGAAGAACCUUACCUGGUCUUGACAUCCACAGAACUUUCCAGAGAUGGAUUGUGCCUUCGGGAACUGUGAGACAGGUGCUGCAUGGCUGUCGUCAGCUCGUGUUGUGAAAUGUUGGGUUAAGUCCCGCAACGAGCGCAACCCUUAUCCUUUGUUGCCAGCGGUUAGGCCGGGAACUCAAAGGAGACUGCCAGUGAUAAACUGGAGGAAGGUGGGGAUGACGUCAAGUCAUCAUGGCCCUUACGACCAGGGCUACACACGUGCUACAAUGGCGCAUACAAAGAGAAGCGACCUCGCGAGAGCAAGCGGACCUCAUAAAGUGCGUCGUAGUCCGGAUUGGAGUCUGCAACUCGACUCCAUGAAGUCGGAAUCGCUAGUAAUCGUGGAUCAGAAUGCCACGGUGAAUACGUUCCCGGGCCUUGUACACACCGCCCGUCACACCAUGGGAGUGGGUUGCAAAAGAAGUAGGUAGCUUAACCUUCGGGAGGGCGCUUACCACUUUGUGAUUCAUGACUGGGGUGAAGUCGUAACAAGGUAACCGUAGGGGAACCUGCGGUUGGAUCACCUCCUUACCUUAAAGAA